UAGAUGAACAAUCACGAAGUGGUGCAACUGCGCGAGUCGCAGAAACGUUGCCAAUUCGCCUGUUCCAUUGAUUGGUCCAUGGAAAGCGAAAGAUAUAGAAAGACUGUUGACCGGUCAGAGCACAGGGUGAUAAGGGAGAGGGAAGCGGGCGCCGAGACGCCAGACGCCGGCGGAUGCCGGGCGCCGCGUGUCCUAGACUCGCGACGGGACAACGACCGCGAUGUUUGCCGAGUGAAAUGCGAGAAAAAGGAAUGCGACGACGAGUCGUGUCUCAACGAAACUGCUCAAAAAACGAGGACGAGCCGGUGAAAGAGGCGGACGGGGAGGAAAUAGCGGUGGAUUGGAAAACGUUCUAAGCGCAAUUCGUACAAUGAAACUAGAUGCAAGCAUGUAGUAAAAGCGAAAAUAACAGUAUUCCUAGGAGUACAGCGAGGUUGGACAGAUGAUGUGUUUCUUAGGACGAGGCUGUAGUAUCCAAUGGGCUAUUUGAGAUACCUUAAGUGUGUUAUAGACCAGAUAGGUUCGCGAUAUCAGGUGCAUUUGUGCUGCUCUCGAUUACUCACGGCAUUCGAUGUUGUUCUUGUACGCACUCCUAAAGAAAGACUCGAGAUAACCUAACGAACGGAUCGAGUUCGCUCAGCGUUAAUGGCGAACGGACGAUCGCAAUUUCUACGAAAUUCCAUGACUUUAUAUAUGUAUAUCACGAUACUAGCAACUGAAGAAAUAGGCCAAAAUUCUUUCAAGGUUAUUUAAGUACAGAUUAUAUUAUCAUUACACUAUUGUAUAUUUAAUUAAUAUGUAAGUUUUGACAUUGUAAUCCCUUACUAAUAAAACAAAAUUGUUUAGUUAGUGUCAUUAAAGCAAUAUUUCUCCUC